UUCCUGUGGUGUGGGCCAGUGGAAUUCCAAGAAAAUGGACAAGGGCAGAACCUGUAAGAAUUACCCCUAAGCCAGAGUCUCUCCUGGCAGAAGAGCCCAGGCCUGAGCUGGCUGAGUGUUGGUGUGACCCACAGUGGGUGUCCCCUGCCCUCGGGACAGUCCCCAGAGCUCCCUUUGGCAUCCCCUGCUGAAGGGUGGGAGCUGCCCAGAGCCAGCAGCAUCCAGCUGGAGGAUCCCAGAGGAUGCAGCUGAUGUUGUCUGGGAGUUGAAAACAGAAGUGAUUUUCAAGGUGUUGGCACUUGUUUUCCUGUGUCUUUGGUGAGGUGCUGACUCAGUACCUUUCCUGGAGCUGCUGUUGGAUGAAGAGGUGCCCCCAAUUGACCUGGAAG